AGUUUGCUUGCUGGGUAUAAUAAGAAGUAUAUCUUUAAUUUUUUAUGAAACUGCCAAACUGUUUUCCAGAGUUGCUGCACAAUUAUGCAUUUCUACUAGCAAU
rnacentral:pre_miRNA from 1 species